CCUCGAUCCGCAAGCGGUGCGGAGUGAAUCAACGAUUUAGAACUCAUCCCUGAUUUGUCCUAAAUCGGUCCCUUCUAGAUCAAGCCUGGGAACUUCAGUCCGAACCGCAUGGUUCGUAUUUUUGAAACCCUCCCAAGAAACAAAACUCAGUUAAAAUCUCCUUAAUCUUGGAACCUACUCGAUUCAAAAUUCAAAACCUAAUUUGAACCGAGACAAUUAUAACAAAGGAGAGCAGUACUGUUGGCCGGGCCUACCUUUCAUCCACUGAGGGUUUCAGGUCUGGGCGAAUAUAGAAUAGAUCCUUCCAGCGUCUCUUCUACUUCAAGGACAUAAGAGAAGGCGGCUCUCUCCUUGGGAACGAACGGGAACUGAACCGAAAGAAGGAAGGAUGAGAGAAGAGGAGCUGCUGCGGUGCCAAAUUCAGGAAUGGUACCCCAUCUUCAAACCUUAUUCCAUCCGCACCCUCUUCCACCCCCUCCCCGACUCCUUCCUCCGUUACCUCCUCGGCCUCCCCCUCAACCCUUCUUCCCCUCACGCCGACCCUGACGCUGACGCCGAUGCCCCGCCCCCUUUCCUUCUUCCCCUCUCCGUCUCCGGCCGCGACCCCCUCCCUCGCCCCACCGCCCACCUCGACCCCGUCUCCCUCCUCGACUCCCAGACUUCCUUCUCUUCCUCCGACGACGAUGACGCCGCCGAGGCCUCCGCCGCCGCGGCUCCGUCAUUCCCGGACCUGGAGGCGGCGGUGGAGCGGUCCAUCGCGGCCCUGGGCGCCGCCGCCUUCCCCAAGCUGAACUGGAGCGCCCCCAAGGACGCCGCCUGGAUCUCCGCCGACGGCACCCUCCGCUGCACCUCCUUCGCGGACGUCGCCCUCCUCCUCCGCUCCUCCGACGCCAUCGCCCACGACCUCUCCCAUGCCCUCCCUUCCUGCCGCGACAACGAGCGAUCCUCCACGACAACCUUCUACCUGGCCCUCCGCAAGUGGUACCCGUCUCUCCGCCCGGAGAUGGAGUUCCGGUGCUUCGUCCGCCGCCGCCGCCUCGUCGGCAUCUCCCAGCGCGAGGUCACCGGCUUCUAUCCGGUGCUCCUCGACCGCCGCCACGAGAUCCAGCCCCUCAUCGAGGCCUUCUUCGCCGAGGUCGUGAACCCGAGAUUCGGAUCGGAGGACUACACGUUCGACGUGUACGUGACCGGGGACGGCCGGGUGAAGCUGCUGGACUUCAAUCCCUGGGGGGUCUUCACGCUGCCGCUGCUCUUCAGCUGGGAGGAGCUGGAGGGCGAGGGAUUUGGUGGGGAGGAAGGCCGAGCGGUGGAGUUCAGGAUCGUGGAGAGCCAGUGCGGGGUGAGGCCGGGGCUGAAGACGGCCGUGCCCUACGAUUACUUGGAUACAUCGGAGGGCAGCGGCUGGGAUCAGUUCUUGAAGAAGGCGGAUGAGGAGAUCAGGAGGCAGGCCCAGACCACUCCCGCCCCUGAUGCUGGCUGAAUGCCUACUAGUAGAAGAAAAGGAAAAAAAAAAGGGUAGGACUCUUCAUGCUCUUUGAUCUAAGAUGUCUUUUGGCCAUGGGUUAUGAGGUGCUCUUGAGGACAAUAUUCCAUUAAUCCAUUUCACUGUCAUGGAAUCUCCUUCCAUCUAAAUUUCCAUGGCAUCGAGUAGAAAGCAGUCACAGUCCUUUCCCAGUCUUCCCCAGGUUAUUCUGUGCUGAACUUUUCAGAAUGCUCAUGUUUGCACUUGGUAAAAGUUAAAUCUAGUUGACACCUUCUAGUUCUAGAUCAUAUCGCUGCCAUCAAUAAAUAUUUUUUAUGGUUUGUCAAAGUAGCAGCAUAUCCAAUGUUGAGCUACUUAGAAUUGCUGAGCUUGGAUCUUCUUCUUAAAAAAAAGAAAAAAAGCCAGCACCUGUUGGUUGACAACCACUUCGGUUGGUCUCAAAUAAGAGCUGGGACAAAUAAGAGCUGGGACACCGUGGAAGUUCUUAUCGAGCUUGUUUUGUUUGGGGGCAACCAAGCAAGUUGUAUGAAUCCUCUAAAUGUCAGCUGUUGUUGUGUGUAAAAAGUGUAUGCUUAGGAAACUUAGAAUGCUGCAUUCAACGUUUCAAGUGAUGUUCAUUGCAUUUUCAACUGA